rnacentral:rRNA from 1 species
CCCCUAGAGGGGACCUGCGGAGGGAUCAUUACACAACAAAAAUAUGAGGGUGUGGUUUGCUGGCAACAGCGUCCGCCCCAAGUAUUUUUCACCCAUGUCUUUUGCGCACUUUUUGUUUCCUGGGCGAGUUCGCUCGCCACCAGGACCCAACCAUAAACCUUUUUUUAUGCAGUUGCAAUCAGCGUCAGUAUAAUAAUUCAAUUUAUUAAAACUUUCAACAACGGAUCUCUUGGUUCUGGCAUCGAUGAAGAACGCAGCGAAAUGCGAUACGUAGUGUGAAUUGCAGAAUUCAGUGAAUCAUCGAAUCUUUGAACGCACAUUGCGCCCUUUGGUAUUCCAAAGGGCAUGCCUGUUCGAGCGUCAUUUGUACCCUCAAGCUUUGCUUGGUGUUGGGCGUCUUUUUGUCUCUCCCCUUGUUGGGGGAGACUCGCCUUAAAACGAUUGGCAGCCGACCUACUGGUUUUCGGAGCGCAGCACAAAUUUGCGCCUUCCAAUCCACGGGGCGGCAUCCAGCAAGCCUUUGUUUUCUAUAACAAAUCCACAUUUUGACCUCGGAUCAGGUAGGGAUACCCGCUGAACUUAAGCAUAUCAAAGG